AUUGAACGCUGGCGGCAUGCUUUACACAUGCAAGUCGAACGGCAGCGCGGGCUUCGGCCUGGCGGCGAGUGGCGAACGGGUGGGUAAUACAUCGGAACGUGCCCAGUAGUGGGGGAUAGCUCGGCGAAAGCCGGAUUAAUACCGCAUACGACCUGAGGGUGAAAGCGGGGGAUCUUCGGACCUCGCGCUAUUGGAGCGGCCGAUGGCAGAUUAGCUAGUUGGUGGGGUAAAGGCCUACCAAGGCGACGAUCUGUAGCUGGUCUGAGAGGACGACCAGCCACACUGGGACUGAGACACGGCCCAGACUCCUACGGGAGGCAGCAGUGGGGAAUUUUGGACAAUGGGCGAAAGCCUGAUCCAGCAAUGCCGCGUGUGUGAUGAAGGCCUUCGGGUUGUAAAGCACUUUUGGCGGGAACGAAAAGGACUGUGCCAAUACCACGGUUCGAUGACGGUACCCGCAGAAUAAGCACCGGCUAACUACGUG
rnacentral:rRNA from 1 species